GGGGCUGAUUCAGGAUUCGACGGGAUUAGCGAAGCCCAAAGUGCAUGUCGAGGUGCGGUAGGCCUCGUAAACAAACCGCAAAAAAAUAGUCGCAAACGACGAAAACUACGCACUAGCAGCUUAAUAACCUGCAUAGAGCCUUCUCUCCCUAGCUUUAGCUUGUAAGACGGGGAUCAAGAGGAGUCAAAACCAAACAAGAUCGUGUGGAAGCCGCAACUUGAGGAUCGAAGCAUUAAAUUAAACCAAGUUCGCUUACUUAUCGCGUGUCUAUCCGCAGUGAGUAAGUUAAAUUAAAGAUUAGACUAAACAUGUAGUACUGACGGUAGAGAAAUUUCGGACGGGGGUUCAACUCCCCCCAGCUCCACCA
rnacentral:tmRNA from 1 species